GUCUAGGAAGGCAGCUUUAUUAUAGUUUCAGAGCUUCCUCUCAAAAUCUGCAGUGUGCGUACGGUUCACAUUCAUUGCUCACAGAUGAGAGGUCAAGAUGUCCAUCGCCAUUCUCUUCCAGUCUGCUUGCAUAACUUGAACCAGAGCUUGAGACGUUAGAGGCUCAUCAACAAUUAUGAUCAUUCAUGCACAUUCAGUGAGGGUCUACAUUAAAUGUCUCAUUCAAGAUCCCCUAGACCGGCCCAGCUUCAGACCUCCCCCAUCUCCUCCUCCCACACUGCCCCUCCUCACCCCCGCCACUCCCAGAAAAGUGAUAAGGGAAGAGUUUUGUUGAGCUGUACAAAUUACCUGAACAAAUGUGCAAGGAGAGAAAUGCAUGUUGUGAUCCAGAGGACAAUGAAGAAAUCAGUCUGAUGUGAAAAGAAUACAGGAGAGAAUUGGAGCCAUUGAGCGCUGGGCUCCCACACGUCUGCUUCAAUGGAAAGUUUGGAAGACCUUGGGAUGGGAGAAAUAGAUAGAACAGCAGGGAGGAAAGCCAGAGAAAAAUUCUGCUCUCCCGAGUCUAUUCACAGAGGUAGCCAGGGGUGGGAAUGAGAAAACACCCUGACUUCAUGAGAUUUUUAUUAAGAAGCAGAAGAAGACAUUAAAUAAUGGCUUAUUUGAGUGCACAUCCUCGGCAGGGAAACAACCAAUGAUUGCAGAGAACUAUAUUAUUACUUUGUGUUUGCUUAUCUUUUUCUCUCCUUACCUGAUAAUCAUCUGUAGCUCUAUCUGUCUUUUUAAGGACAUGUAAGAAAAUAGAGAAGGUUACAGAGGACAGUCAAAGAAUUGCAUAUUAUUACCUGGCUUUCCAGAGCUGACUGUGCAAUUGUUUGUUUUUGAUGAGAUAACAAUGAAGAUAGAAUUGUUCAAAGCAAAUGCUGCUCACAUUUCAUCAAGCCAUACCUCACUGCCCCACUCUCACGUACAGCUGCCCCUCCCACCACCAAAGGCUCUCAGGGACACUAGAGCCACUGCCAAUGGAGUGACUGGUGAGAGCACAAAGCCUGUUGUUCACACCCAUCUGGGUCCAAGAGAAGAGAUGGCCUUCCCCCAGAAGCUGGAUCCCGAUUCUCCCUUCCAUAGAUGCAAGGCCGCCUGUCGGGUGCUUGAGUUGGUGACAAGAGCUCCAGAGUGGCUGUCAGGAAGGCGAUCAUGUGACGGAUCCUCCGCGUAAGCUCCAGCCCUUUCUCCAGGCUCGCCCUCUGACAGUUAUUACUGCUGCAAUAAAUUCUUCAGUAAAACAAACA
rnacentral:lncRNA from 12 species